rnacentral:rRNA from 1 species
AGUGAACGUUGGCGGCGUGGAUUAGGCAUGCAAGUCGAGCGAGAACCGUAGCAAUACGGGGACAGCGGCGAAAGGGACAGUAAUGUGUAGGUACCUACCCCGGGGUCUGGGAUAGCUGCGGGAAACUGCAGGUAAUACCGGAUAAUGUCUACGGACCAAAGGUGUGAUUCCAGCUUGGGAGGGGCCUGCAUCCUAUUAGCUUGUUGGCGGGGUAACGGCCCACCAGGGCAACGAUGGGUAGCGGGUGUGAGAGCACGACCCGCGUCAUUGGGACUGAGAUACUGCCCAGACACCUACGGGUGGCUGCAGUCGAGGAUCUUCGGCAAUGGGCGAAAGCCUGACCGAGCGACGCCGCGUGCGGGAUGAAGGCCUUCGGGUUGUAAACCGCUGUCGUAGAGGAGGAAAUGCAGGGGGGUUCUCCCUUCUGUUUGACCUGUUCUAGGAGGAAGGACGGGCUAAGUUCGUGCCAGCAGCCGCCGCAG